GAUGAACGCUGGCGGCGUGCCUAAUACAUGCAAGUCGAGCGAACAGACGAGGAGCUUUCUCCUCUGACGUUAGCGGCGGACGGGUGAGUAAAACGUGGAUAACCUACCUAUAUGACUGGGAUAACUUCGGGAAACCGGAGCUAAAACCGGAUAAUAUAUUGAACCGCAUGGUUCAAUAGUGAAAGACGGUUUUGCUGUCACUUAUAGCUGGAUCCGCGCCGCAUUAGCUAGUUGGUAAGGUAACGGCUUACCAAGGCAACGAUGCGUAGCCGACCUGAGAGGAUGAUCAGCCACACUGGAACUGAGACACGGUCCAGACUCCUACGGGAGGCAGCAGUAGGGAAUCUUCCGCAAUGGGCGAAAGCCUGACGCAGCAACGCCGCGUGAGUGAUGAAGGUCUUCGGAUCGUAAAACUCUGUUAUUAGGGAAGAACAAAUGUGUAAGUAACUAUGCACGUCUUGACGGUACCUAAUCAGAAAGCCACGGCUAACUACGUG
rnacentral:rRNA from 1 species